AUUUAAAUAGUUUAUUAAAAUAUUGAUUUGUGGUGUCAAAGAUAUGAAUAUAUUUCAUUUUAAAUC
rnacentral:tRNA from 1 species